rnacentral:rRNA from 1 species
UACGAAGGGGGCUAGCGUUGCUCGGAAUCACUGGGCGUAAAGGGCGCGUAGGCGGUUUCGUAAGUCCUGUGUGAAAUCCCCCGGCUCAACUGGGGAACUGCACAGGAAACUGCGAGGCUUGAGUUCGGGGGAGGGAAGCGGAAUUCCGGGUGUAGCGGUGAAAUGCGUAGAUAUCCGGAGGAACACCGGUGGCGAAGGCGGCUUCCUGGACCGACACUGACGCUGAGGCGCGAAAGCCAGGGGAGCAAACGGG